AGCUGAUAUUCUGACAUUUGAUAUUGACAUAGCCACCACUCAAUUUUAUGACUACUAAAAAUAAUCUGAAAAGAAACACUCCACAUUUUCUCCUCCAUGUGAGUUUCUUUUAAACACCUUCUUCUCCUUACCCAGAGGAGAAAGACAGCUGAAGUGAAAAGGGAUAUCCACAAGCAGGAUGGGACAGAGCAUAUAGAGUUGGGGUACAGUCAUGAUACUGGAACAUAUAUAGGUGUAGUUCAUUUACUGGGAUGUGAAUAUAGUCCUCCUCUGCCUUCCUCAAAAUGGCUCAGUGAAGGGUGCUUCAUUUCCCUAUCAGAAAUCAUUGUGAUGAAUGUGCACUGUGAGGUCACAAUCUCCAGAAGGCCAAGUGUCAUCUGCCAGUACACCUCUGUCACCUGGACAGGGCACCCGCUUUAACUCCUGGAGGCUGAGACCCACACUAAGACAGACUGUGUGAAACUUCAAACAGAAGAUUUUAUGAGGUGUUGGAGUCAUGUACUGACCUAUGUACAAUGUACUGGAUAUGCCAUUCCCAGGAUGCUUACUGAACCUGCUCAUAAUUUGAAGAUUCCAUCCAAUGGAGUUAUAUUUUUCUUCUUGAAGUGGCUACAGCAUACAAGGCAAAUCCCUGACAAAAAGUACCCUUUGCUCAAGACCAUCACAAAGAAAAUGAAUGUGAUCAACUUGCAUGGCCAUCAAUGGAAGGUGUAUUUCAAUCUGGCCUUUGAAGGGUUGAGCCCAUUAAUAUUUAAAAUGUUUAGUUCAAAUGUUUCUCAAGCACUGUAUGAACAGAGUCCUCAGUAACUAUUUUUCAAGAGAAAAUGUGUUUUGAUGUUGGAAAAGAGGCUAAGGGAUGGAUCACACAGAAAAAUGACUGUUUCCAGAAGAACUGGGCAAGAAUCAGUUCUGCUUGGAAAGCACUUCCUUCAAAACUGUUAUAGGGGAAAGGAAUUUGAGAUCCAUCUCCUACUGGACAUCAGUAAAUAUGUGUCUUCCAAAAUUGUUUCCCUUUCUUUUUCUCUUUCUUCUUAUACUAUUUCCUUAUGCAUCCAUAACUAAGAGUUUGGCUUUGUCUACUUGACAGAAUUUGAGUUGUCUUUGUUCAUUCAUACGUCAACUUUCAUACAUAAAAAUGAAAAUUGUAUUUGUAAGCUGGCCUUGGGAAGGAACAGUCUGGUCUGUUUUGAAAUGAAAUAUGUAAGUGUGACAUUCAA
rnacentral:lncRNA from 1 species